rnacentral:rRNA from 1 species
AUGGCCGGCGCUGGAUCGAGCUCAUCCGCACCUAAAGAAGGCUUUCACUUGAUGAGUUGCCUAAAAGAAGAUCUGACACUCAGAGGUGACAAUCACACUGAGUGGUGGAAGAAAGUUGAACUGGCAUUUGUCUGUGCUGAUCUGGACUGGGUUCUGGAUGAACCACAGCCGGUCAGACCUACAGAGCCAGUAAGAGAGACCACUGAUGAUGAUGCUGCAUGGGCUAAAAAGAGGGGAGAUUAUGCUCCUUUGGAGAUGUCCUACAUCAUAGACAACCAAAAGUGGGUCAAUGCAAACUAA